AAUGAACGUUGGCGGCGUGGAUUAGGCAUGCAAGUCGCGCGGACCAGCAAUGGUUAGCGGCGAAAGGGAGAGUAACGCGUGGGUUAUCUGCCUCUUGGGCCAGGAUAGCUGCGGGAAACUGCAGGUAAUACUGGAUAAUGUCUUCGGACCAAAGGUGUGAUUCCGCCGGGAGAUGAGCCCGCGUCCUAUUAGCUAGUUGGUGAGGUAAUGGCUCACCAAGGCUUAGAUGGGUAGGGGGUGUGAGAGCACGACCCCCCUUACUGGGACUGAGACACUGCCCAGACACCUACGGGUGGCUGCAGUCGAGGAUCUUCGGCAAUGGGCGAAAGCCUGACCGAGCGACGCCGCGUGUGGGAUGAAGGCCUUCGGGUUGUAAACCACUGUCGUAGAGGAGGAAAUUCUGGGGGGUUCUCCCCUCAGUUUGACCUAUUCUAGGAGGAAGUCAGGGCUAAGUUCGUGCCAGCAGCCGCAGUAA
rnacentral:rRNA from 1 species